rnacentral:rRNA from 1 species
GCAAUUAUUGAUCUUGAACGAGGAAUUCCUACUAAACGCGAGUCAUCAGCUCGCAUUGNUUACGUCCCUGCCCUUUGUACACACCGCCCGUCGCACCUACCGAUUGAAUGUUUCGGUGAAGAUUCCGGACUGUGGCUCGCGUGCUUCACGGCGCUCCUGCCGUGGGAAGUUAUCUAAACCUCAACAUUUAGAGGAAGGUGAAGUCGUAACAAGGUUUCCGUAGGUGAACCUGCGGAAGGAUCA